AAAGAAAGUAAUUUUUCUUUGUUUGGUUUGGAAGAAAACAAAAAAGAAAAUGAAUCUUAAAAUCACUGUAGAAAAACACCCAUAUAGCCAGUUCUUUUCCCCUUUCCUCACUUGAUCGGAGUGAAAAUGAGAGAGAAGGAGAGAAAAUCGCCUCCUUCAAAAUUCCCGACUCCAUCGCGACUCCAUCCUCUCUCUCUCUCUCUCUCUCUCUCUCUCUCUCAAAUCUCCUUGAGCUCUCUCUCGUCAUUCUCUCGGAUCUCUCGCCCUCGACCUCCCUCAGAUCUCCUUCUUCCCCGCUGCCGGCAUCCUACCGCGCCACCACCGUGGCCGCCGCCUCCUAAAACUCAUCGAGAGUGCAGCCACUGAAAUUUAACCGAACUCCUCUCCAGCUUCUCCUUUGUCUAGGCUUGGAUAUGCUAAUUAACAUAGUGCAUGGAAAAAGGUACAGCCAUCCCUUUUGCUUCAUCAAUCAGGCUGGAAAAUGGUACAAUUCUCUCAUCAUUCGUGUCUUGAAGCCAUGUGAAGCUCCAGACACAAAUCAGAGCCUGCUCAUUACUCUACCCUCCAAAAGACAUCUUUUGCUUUCUUCACAUAACCCUAUUUGUGAUGUGAUUUCUCUCUUUGUGAAGCUUUAUGAUUCCAACUGAAAAAAUGACUGGGAUUAUCGAUGUUGGGUACACCGUGCUUGAAAUUAAUCUUUGAUCCAGGGGAUGAAGGAUGCGAGAUUAAUGUUUUGAUGGGCUCACUAGAGUCAAAAACCAAGGACUUCGGCAUAUUUUUCUCUCUCUUUGGUUAAGAUUCUCUAUAUAUGAAAUUGAUUGUAAUAGAUUUUGUUGGUUAAGAUUUUUUAUAUGAAAUUGAUUGUAAUAGACUUUGUGACUAGAAAUGGAUUAUACUUUAUAUUAGGAAUAUCAUGACAUUUACUUUUGAUUU